rnacentral:lncRNA from 1 species
UGAGUAAUCAAAAUCCUAUAUUAUUACUUCAUAUAAUCAAAUUUAAUAAACCAUACAAUAGGGAUAAUAAAUCAUAGUUUUCUUUAAAUCUCUCUCUCUCUCUCUCUCUUUCUCUCUCUUUCUAUAUAUAUAUAUAUAUAUAUUCACACAACAGACUUUAAUACUCUUCUAAUACUAUAAAAUCAUCUCAACUCUUUGUCAACGUUUUGAAAAGUAGUGAACCAAAUUCGAAUUUGGCCCUAAAAUCUUGUUUAAAAUGCACUCAACUAGCAAAUGAAAUCCCAUUCAUGAAAUUCGAUUGUCGUCCAGACCACAAAGUUCUGAGCAACAAUUCAAAUCCUUACUUCUCAAGAAAAACAUUAGUGACGUUUUACAUACAAAAAUUCGAAACCCUAAACCCUGAAACCUGGUAAGGAUUCUAGUGCAAACUCGCUGCCAUACAACGAACAACGUGUUAAAGCAUCUACCGGGAGCCCUCGUCACCGCAUUGCACACAGGAUGGGAACGGUCUAAAAUUCGCCGCAGCUGCAUCGGUAGCACAACCUGCACACUGCGGCGCCGACUCACAGAGCUGCAAGGCCAUGUGGACGCGAACGUGACCAAGGUUGCAUCGAUUGAUCAAGUUACCAGCACUUUGCAAAAACAUGUCACCGAAACAAAUCCACGCUGGAUGUGCUGACCCACUGGUGUUGCUCGCAUCCUUGGAUCCCGCUGCACAAAGGAACGGCACGAGCGCGAGCGUAUCAGUCGGCUCUGAAGCGAUCAUGUCUGAAGUCGGGAGUCGGUAGGGCUGCAGCUACAUACAAACGUCGAUGGAGAAUUCAUUUCGGUGCCAAAUCAGACGCGAAUGAGAGUGUGGGUUGCCGAACCCGGAAUCGGCGGAAAUUUGCGCGGUAUAAUCCAGAGCCUGCCACUUCGAAUCGUCGAUUGACCCGUACAUCGAUCGCAAAAAAUGCAUUCAUGGGUCGCUUGGUCGGUGGGUGUCU